ACAGUCUGCCACUACUCAUGUAGUUCACAUAGAACUUAGGCUGCGGUCACACUGCAAGCGUAUACGCGCGAACUGACGGUCGGGCGUUAUCGGGCGAACUACCAAACACGUUACAAGGCCUGUAACCGGUCACACUGCAAGCGAAGUUAUCGCUCGACAUCGCUCGUCGUUCAAACAGGUGAAACUGCAAAGUCUAAAUGGAAGAAUCUACGUGAUACGUUUAGACGGGAGUUUCAAAAACUCCAACAAAGAAAACACACUGGUGACAGUGGUGGUACAAGGAUGUCAAGCACCUGGCCCUAUUUCGAAAAUUUACUUUUUUUAUCGGACCAGAUGACUCCAAGGGCAUCCUGUGGGAAUAUUCCAGAAGUCUCUGCAGUUUAUGACAGUAGCACUGAUAAUAAAGAAAUUGAGACGGGCGAGACUACAACUGAACAAUCCUGUGAUAUCGGGGAGUUGGCAGAACAAGGUUCCCAAAAUAUAAUUCCGACUGAUAAAAAGCCAACGAAGAAACGUAGGCAAAAUAUUGAAGAACAAUUACUAACAUUGGAACAAGAAAAAUUGAAGAUUUUAAAAAUGAAAUAUGAUAAUUCAGCUUCAGUCUCUCUGGAGGAAGACAGUGACUAUCAAUUUUUAGUAAGUUUACUGCCUUUUUUAAAAAAAAGUCAGUCCAAGCAGAAAGAUGAGAGUCCGCAUGAAAUUACAAGAAGUUUUCAUAGAAGACGAAGCGUUAUCUUCAGGAUCAUCAUCAGUAGUGGCGUCCACACCCUUCUCCUUUCAUUCACACACUGCCAAUUCAGAAAGUGGUGAUUCAUAUCAACAGAAUGAUUUUGGUCAUUCAUCAUCACUUCCAAAUUACUUUAGCACUUUUCAGUAAAUAAUUAUCAAUGAAAAAAUGAACGAAUGUUUUGCUGUAUUGUAAAUUGUUAAUAAUAGAUUAUAUUUUGGUUUCUUAAUAUUUGUAUUUUUUUUUGAAAAUUAAUAAAAUAAAAAUGUAAAAGGAAAAUAUAACAAAGAUAAAAUAAGUAUGGAAAAUCUUACCUCAGUGCCACUGUUAACCAUUCUGAUGGUGAAAUACAGUUUCGGAAAUUA